GACGGAGGAUGCAAGCGUUAUCCGGAAUGAUUGGGCGUAAAGCGUCCGCAGGUGGCAGUUCAAGUCUGCUGUCAAAGACCGGGGCUUAACUUCGGAAAGGCAGUGGAAACUGAACAGCUAGAGUAUGGUAGGGGCAGAGGGAAUUCCUGGUGUAGCGGUGAAACGCGUAGAGAUCAGGGAGAACAUCGGUGGCGAAGGCGCUCUGCUGGACCAUAACUGACACUCAGGGACGAAAGCUAGGGGAGCGAAUGGG
rnacentral:rRNA from 1 species